GUUGGGACACUAAAAACAGACUUAUCUCUAGGGUGAAAUUACAUUAGCCACAGACACUGAAACUGAUGGCUAAAUGAAAUGAUUAAUUAAUAAUUUAAAAAAAAACCCAGAGGAGUCAGAAAAGGCACAAUUAUAGACUAAAAGUAGAUUAGUGGUCCCUGAAGCUGUAUGUGGAAAGAGGGAUUAAAUGUUAAAGGUCUUCUUGUUUGGGAUGAUGUUCUAAACCUAUAUUAUGGUGAUGAUGGCCGAUAAAUUUGCUAAAACUCAUUAAUUUGUAUACUUAAAGUGAGUGAAUUGCAUGUAAAAAAUUAUGCCUCAGUAAAGUUAACAAGAGUAAUUCCAGAGAAGACCAGCUACCUGAAUGCAGCAAACAUUCUCUCUCUGUAAGCAAACUACACGACAAGCUACGUUGUAAGCAGAAAUUUGGUUGGGACGUAAAUUCAGAGCAAGUCAAACUGGCUAUAUGUGAUUAGAAUACCUCCAUUUACAUCACAGACAUACAACCACUUCAGAUGUGGAGUCUUUAUACUUUAGUGUUUGUCUCUGUGGCUUUCAUUCUUCCCGGUUCUGCUGGCUAAAUAAUCCUUCUUCUGGUACAAUGCCUACUUUUAGCCUACAGAUCAAGUUAUGUUGUCCUGGGAACCACUUUUCAUCUUAAAACUUCAGAUAUCUUGGCUCUGAACUACCAUGAGUUGUGUUUACAGCCUCCAAGUCAAUUUUAUUUCCAAGUUGCAGUAUUCAGACUGGGAGGGAAGAGGACAAUGGGUGACUUUUUGUCCCUAUCACAAUUUUAUAUCAGAAACGGAAUGGCAAUGAGGUGAUUUUUAUCUUAUGAAAAAUUUCUACAGGCACACAACGAGCAGGGCACAACUGCCUCUCCUGCAACGUGACACGUAAGUAAGGCUGCCAGGUAAAACAUACACAAGUCCCAUAGAGUAUUUGGGAUGUACACAGACUUAAAAAUUACUCAUGGUUCAUCUGAAACUAAAAUUUAACUAGGAUCCUGUAUUUCAUUUGCGGGUAGACAUAGAAGCCCUGGGAAUUGCCGAAAAACAUACUGUCCAAAUAACUUUGGCAAAAAAAGAGUCAAAGAACCAAACUCCAGGCUGUCAAACAGCCUUGCAUCGGAGUUGGCAAAAGCUACCUGUAGCAGAGUAAAGGAGAAAAAUCCUAAGUGUUAGAGCUGAAUCAGAAAUAUUAGUUGUCUUGGGAGGAAGGGGAGGGUCACAGUCCAGGGAAGGAUGGAAAGAAAACUUCAUUUCUUAUCAAGAAUUUCUGAUCAAGAAUUCUCCACUCAGCCCUUCUGCGUGGCAGCGGCCAGAGAGCAAGCGCCUACAAGGAAGGGACUCCACUUUGCGGCCUGGAUGACGAACGGGGCGAUUUCCCCACUCCAGUCCCAAGGCACCUGGCAGGCGCACCUGCGCUAGGUAAACGAGAGAAGCCCGCCCAGACCGGAUGCGGAAGUGAGGAGUUAGCUAAGCCCCGCCCCGCGGCUGAGCAACGCUCCGGCCGCGCCCACCAGGCCAGGCCUCGCGGGGUGACGUGUCUGAACUGUGAAGGCGGAGCGGGAACGAGGUCGCCGGAGUAGGAGUUGGCGAGAUUUGAUUGAAAGUUAAACAUCAGAGGAAUGGACUUCGUGAACAAAAACUGUGGCCCAUACUUCCAGUUCUGCAAGGAUCAAGCCAUUUGCUACCGCAGUCACCCAACAACAGUGCACCCUGAGGGGAACUCAGGAUGGAGAAAAAUCAAUAUUCUGUGCUUUGGAGCCUGGCUCUGGAUAGUUAAGAUGCAUAUCUAAGGAAUAAUUUCACUGAACUCAGAUGCUUGCAUCCGCUCAUACAUACAAAAGCACUAAAAUCUUUAACUUGAGAUGUCUAUUCUUUGUGAUUAGCAGUAACCUUUUGAUAUUGGCCUAGCUAUUUUGUUCCAGCCAAAAAACUCAUAUACAUCCUGUCUCCUCCCUUACCUCUUGAGACGGGUUCUUCAGAGAUAUCUGAGAGGGGGUUUUCUAUGCUAUGUUCCUCAGUAAGUUCCCUGAAUAAAACUUAAAACUUC